AACCUUUGCAAUGUGCGCAAGCACGACAAGGUUAAUCCGAGUGUUUCCUGCUAAAGGAAUCUUUUGCUAGUCCUAAAAACACUAGCGAAUAAGGGGUGGGCAAGUUCUGGUGUCAGCCGCCGCGGUAAAACCAGCACCUCAAGUUGUCAGGAGGAUUAUUGGGCCUAAAGCAUCCGUAGCCUGCUCUGUAAGUUUCCGGUUAAAUCCAUUAGCUCAACUAAUGGGCUGCCGGAAAAACUGCAAAGCUAGGGAGUGGGAGAGGUAGACGGUACUCGGUAGGAAGGGGUAAAAUCCUUUGAUCUAUUGAUGACCACCUGUGGCGAAGGCGGUCUACCAGAACACGUUCGACGGUGAGGGAUGAAAGCUGGGGGAGCAAACCGGAUUAGAUACCCGGGUAGUCCCAGCUGUAAACGAUGCAGACUCGGUGAUGCGCUGGCUUGUGGCCAGUGCAGUGCCGCAGGGAAGCCGUUAAGUUUGCCGCCUGGGAAGUACGUACGCAAGUAUGAAACUUAAAGGAAUUGGCGGGGGAGCAC
rnacentral:rRNA from 1 species